CCACUGAGGGGUUGGGGUAAUCACUUUGUGGUUCUCUCUCAUGUAUGUUAAUAAAUAUUUCCUGUUAAAGCCGAGGCAGGAGGAUUGCUUGAGCCCAGGAGUUCAAAGGUGCAGUGAGCUCUGAUCAUGAAACUGUACUUCAGCCUCUCUGGACAGAGCAAGACCUUGUCUCUAAAAUAUAAAUGAAUCAAUUUAUUCUAUUAAUCUGCCUUUCAUCAGUUGAUUUUUCAGCAAACCUUCAGAAGGCAAAGGGGAAGUUUUCCUUUGGCCCCCACAGACCCAUGCUGGGGGACGUCCUGAGGAUGGGUGAGGAGAGAAAUCUUCCAGGACAAGCAAGAAGGCCCUCACCAGAUGUUGGACCUUCAGCCUUGGACUUCCCAACCUCCAGAACCAAGAGAAA
rnacentral:lncRNA from 1 species